GUCGCAAUGACCGGGUGGUUAAGGCGUUGGACUAGGAAUCCAAUGUGGUUUCCUCGCGCAAGUUCAAACCCUGCUCGCAACG
rfam:Schistosoma haematobium scaffold390_7, whole genome shotgun sequence.